CGGGGCGCAGCAGGCGCGAAACCUCCGCAAUGUGAGAAAUCGCGACGGGGGGAUCCCAAGUGCCAUUCUUAACGGGAUGGCUUUUCUUUAGUGUAAAAAGCUUUUGGAAUAAGAGCUGGGCAAGACCGGUGCCAGCCGCCGCGGUAAUACAAGGGC
rnacentral:rRNA from 1 species